UACAGAGGGUGCGAACGUUGCUCGGAAUUACUGGGCGUAAAGCGCAUGUAGGCGGGUCGGCAAGUCAGAUGUGAAAUCCCCGGGCUCAACCCGGGAACUGCAUCUGAAACUGCCGGUCUUGAGUACUGGAGAGGGUGGCGGAAUUCCUGGUGUAGAGGUGAAAUUCGUAGAUAUCAGGAGGAACACCGGUGGCGAAGGCGGCCACCUGGACAGUCACUGACGCUGAGAUGCGAAAGCGUGGGGAGCAAAC
rnacentral:rRNA from 1 species